GAUGAAGAACGCAGCGAAAUGCGAUAAGUAAUGUGAAUUGCAGAAUUCCGUGAAUCAUCGAAUCUUUGAACGCACCUUGCGCCCUUUGGCUAUUCCGAAGGGCAUGCCUGUUUGAGUAUCGUGAACACCUCAACUCUCAUGGUUUGCCAUGAUGAGCUUGGACUUUGGGGGUUUUGCUGGCCUUUGGUCGGCUCCUCUCAAACGGAUCAGCUUUCCAGUGUUUGGUGGCGUCACGGGUGUGAUAACUAUCUACGCCUGUGGUUUUCUGCCAGAUAACCUUCAGCGAUGGAGGUUCGCUGGGGCUCAUAAAUGUCUCUCUUCAGUGGAGACAGCUUUUUGGACGUUUGAUCUCAAAUCAGGUAGGACUACCCGCUGAACUUAAGCAUAUCAAUAAGCGGAGGA
rnacentral:misc_RNA from 1 species